rnacentral:rRNA from 1 species
UACGUAGGGGGCAAGCGUUGUCCGGAUUUAUUGGGCGUAAAGAGCGUGUAGGCGGCUAGGUAGGUCCGUUGUGAAAACUCGAGGCUCAACCUCGAGACGCCGGUGGAAACCAUCUAGCUAGAGUCCGGAAGAGGAGAGUGGAAUUCCUGGUGUAGCGGUGAAAUGCGCAGAUAUCAGGAAGAACACCAGUGGCGAAGGCGGCUCUCUGGGACGUGACUGACGCUGAGACGCGAAAGCGUGGGGAGCGAACCGG